UUUUCUCUUCCCUGAGUGGCGGCUAGGGUUAGCGCGAUCGCCGCCUCAUCCCCGCACGCAACCUCUCCUUUCGGCUCUCCUCCGUGGCUCCGCCUCCUCCUCUUGCGGCAUCCAACCCAUCGUCUUCUCCUACUUCCCUCUCUUAUUCUUCUGUGCCUCGACGAGGUGGGCAAGCCGGUGCACACACAAAGGGUGGUUGCGGCUACGGCUCCGAUGCGGGCGCCGUGGAGGUGGAGUCGGAGCUGCAGCAGAAGGAGGUGGAUGGCCGCGACAACAGCUUUAGCUUCGAUGAGUUCCAUCACCUCCAUUGCUAUCUCAGGUUAGCCGAUUGAUGUAUUUGAUUGCUGGCCCUUUUGUGUUGGCUGAUGGUGGCGAGAUGAAAUAAGAAUUAAACCUGAUGCUGGGACAAUAAGUAUUUGUACUAUAGAUCCACUAAACAUUGUAUUGAAAUAGCAGGCUACAUAUCUAUCUAAUAUGCAUCUGUGGUACAAGGUGAAGCUUGUUUCCUGACAGAGAACAAUAAAGAUAAGUUGGUGACACAAAGUACUGAAUAAAAAACACUUCUAAUGAUCUAUAUAAUGUGAAAUCUUUUUGUAUGUGUAGAUUUAUCGAAUAAUAUCAUAAUUCUGAUUUGUAGUUUCCUUCUGUUGGGUAUCUCACGUAGCAUGAUAUGAAGCUUCUGAAUAAUUGGUUGCAGAGUUCUUGUAUGUGUCUUGGAGUUCCAAACUUCACAUUCAUUGAGCUUAAUUUUUAUAUAUCGCUUAUGUCUUUCCAGUCAUGCAGUCGCAGGUUCUCCAUUUCAUGAUUUUAAUAGUUGACGGGGUGAGAAAUUUCAUGGCAAGAGCCAUGGUUUAUCUCAGAUGUGUAAAGGGAAAUAUAUUUGUUGACCCAAAAAUCACACUACACUGUUGCAAUUUCUCUGUCGAAAAGUGCCUUGACGAAAGCAAAAUUGGCCCCCCGUGCUAUGAUGACGCGAAGAAUGGGACAAUUUGCUCGAUCAGUUUCAAAUCAGAAACAAGAAAUUUGAGAAAUUCGUUGGAUAAGUACUGAUAUGGUGCUUUUCUAAGAAAAUUAUAUGAUUAUUAAUGCAGGUCCAUGCUCUACUCUGAUGGCUGAGGUUGGAUACACUUGCUACAUGUUUAUUUAAUUUUAUUCUAUUGGAGGAUUCAAACUCUAGACUGAUGAAGUGGUGCAUUUUGAAUUUUCUUCUUAGAUAUUGUGAAUGGUCUACUGAAGGUAUCAAUAAUAAUACAUAUUUUACAUAGUCAAGAUUCAUACUUUCCUUAUUACAUGUUGGUUUAUAUCCCCUACAUAUGUGAUGUGUGUUUAGCUUAUCGACUAUUCUUAAGUGAAUCUUAUGUGGUAUUGCAGGACUAACUUUUCUUUAGACAAUUUUGUAAUCUUUAGUUCAUUUUGGGUCAUUUCCAUUGCCUGUUAGUGUUUUUCGCUAGAGUGCUUUGCAGGCAGUUGUUUGAAAUAGAACCUUCCAGCCAUCUUACUUCUCCAAUAGUACUUUCUUGUUGAGUUUGGUUGGACGUUCUCCAAAGUAAAUUUGGGAGAACAAUAAACCAUACUUUCUAUGUUUUGAAACUAGAGCUGGCCAUGAUUAAUUCUUUUCAAGUUGAUAGUCUAUCAGAGUUUGAAUUUGCUUUUGUAUAGCAAUAUGGAAGUAUAUUAUUUCAUCAUAUUUUCCUAAAGUAGCUUCUGAUUUGUUCACAUUUGUAGAACUACACAAUCUGCACAUUCCUUCUCUUCUCCUAAUCAAUUUCAUCUCAAAUUAGGCUUUAUCCCCUGAUUAGCAUUCUGAGCUACUUAAAUUUCUUCGCCCACAUGUUUGAUUUAGGUUUUUGUUUAGACAUGACAAAUUUUUGCAAGUUAUAGACGCCACGCCUGCCGCUGUCGGGGAGCUCUUGCCUGCGCUGCAAGCCUCAUGACCUUGCAAACUCGCUCGUGCUGCUUAUACGAUACGGCCUCUCCCUACUCAGGAUGGACUGCUUCGUGCAGAUUCACUCUUCUUUGCCUGAAGGCUCCUAUGUAUCCAGGACCGGCACAAGGAAAAUUCUGGGAUGAAGAAAAAAAGCGAAAAUGCAAAUAGAUGAGAAAUCCCAACUUAUUCCUUUGGCCAUUUCUGUAACCAAAGCUAUUGGCUGGCCAACACAAAGGAGCUGAAAUUUCAUAGCGACAAAAAUAGGUGCUGGAGGUACCAUGCAAGCAAGCAUGGCGACCGCGAUCAUGCUGCAGUGGCUGGGUAUAUCCCCUCCCGCUAGCUGAGGAUGGGCUCGAUGAUGGGGCUCCUACCCUUACACAGGUAUAUUCCCACAUUGAACUCGAUUAUUGCAAUGAUUGGGUUGAUUUGGACAUACUGUGCCUUGAAUGACUUUUCCCGUUGGGCAAUUCAAAUGAUGGAAGCCUCUUCGGACCCUUCCACCUCUCCGGCCUCACCACUGGAGACUCGGAUGCGAGAACCGCCACUGCCGCCGCCGUGUCUGUCGGUGACGCUCACACAAGAAUCCAGAGGCAGUGUACCAUGGUCCUCUCCCUGAGAACAACAACUCUCUCAUGAUGCGGGACUGAUGCCACCGUCCAUGCCAUGUUCUGGCUGAUCCCCAAGGCUCCUUGCCGAUGUCCAACCAGCGCCACACAGCCAAUGGUACUGCCGACAUGAGGACGCCCACCCCCGUGUUGAUCGAGCUUUUUGACCUGAGCCUCAUGGACAAGGUCAUACGGGCAUCUGAUUUUGAUUUGCUAUGUGCUCUCUUUUCACAAGUGUAGCUUUUUGUCUCGUUUCAUGUCUCGUUUGGGGGAGCUUCAUGGUCAUGUUCGAUGAGCCUAGUUCGUCUCGGACUAACAUUGAGGAAAAGUAGUUUGGAGAGGGUACCGAGGCGACUCGCUUGGCUAUUGCUUGCGACUAAACCUCCCUCGACUGCUUCCUAACAUAGCACUAGGUUUUGCUCCUUCAAGGUAAUUAAACUUCUUUAAAAAACAUC